rnacentral:rRNA from 1 species
UAGAGUUUGAUCCUGGCUCAGGACGAACGCUGGCGGCGUGCCUAAUACAUGCAAGUCGAGCGGACCGAUGGGAGCUUGCUCCUUUAGGUUAGCGGCGGACGGGUGAGUAACACGUGGGCAACCUGCCCUGCAGACUGGGAUAACUUCGGGAAACCGGAGCUAAUACCGGAUAACACCGAAAACCGCAUGGUUUUCGGUUGAAAGGCGGCUUUUAGCUGUCACUGCAGGAUGGGCCCGCGGCGCAUUAGCUAGUUGGUGAGGUAACGGCUCACCAAGGCGACGAUGCGUAGCCGACCUGAGAGGGUGACCGGCCACACUGGGACUGAGACACGGCCCAGACUCCUACGGGAGGCAGCAGUAGGGAAUCUUCCGCAAUGGACGAAAGUCUGACGGAGCAACGCCGCGUGAGCGAAGAAGGUCUUCGGAUCGUAAAGCUCUGUUGUCAGGGAAGAACAAGUGCCGUUCGAACAGGGCGGUACCUUGACGGUACCUGACGAGGAAGCCACGGCUAACUACGUGCCAGCAGCCGCGGUAAU